CUGCAUCCUUCCUAUUCGAAAGGUAACAAAUAAUUUUCAAUUCAUUCUGCUGCAUCCUUCCUAUUCGAAAGGUACAUGAAUGGCUUCUCCUCUGAAAUUAUUAAACAUUGGAUUUGCUAUUUUGGUUGCGCAGCUAUGCAGGUGCUCUCUCCAAUCCAUCGAUCAGUUUAGUGCUAGCUGUUAUUGCUGCCUUGGAAGUCACCAAUAUUCCUUCAGCUCAAUUGUUUACUUGCGGUACGAACCUUCCUUUUGAUCAUUAUAUAGAAUAGGGUGAUUGGACUGUGGUUUCGAUGGAGGGUGAUUGGACUGUGGUUAUGAUAUAAGCUUUUACUUCGUUGUAGAACUUUAAUCCACACUUGACUUUGAACCUGGAUGUGCUAAUUUGUUUCCAUAAAUGAUUGGGCCGUUGAAGAUAAAUAGAGAUAGAGGCUAUCCACAUGCUCUUUCCUAAUUUUUAGUUUUGCUUUUCCCUGUUCCUCUCCUUGGUUCCUGUCAUUGUGUUUGCAUAUUUUAUAUCCUUUGGUUUCUCAGGUUAUGUACUUAUGUUUGGCGUUGCUUGCUUAUUGUUUUCGUGUUUAUAUUGUAUCAACGACUCUUAGCUUGUUUUGGCUUCUUGCAGACUUACGGGAUUCUGGAAAAAUAUCUGUGUUAUUUUGUUCCUCUCCUCGAACUGAAGAGAUGUUGUUCAUGUUAGCAUGGAUGUUUGUCUAGUCUCCUUACAUAAUGAAAUGUUGUGCUUGACAUGAAUAAGGGUACUUGAUACAACCAUUUUUUCUGAUUUUGUUUGGCCAAGAAUGUAUCUGUAUAAAAUCCAAAUGCAACCGCAGUUGGGUGAUGGAUUACAUUAUCGCUCGUUUCUUUAACUUCUAAGAUUUCUACCUGCGAUAAUUUU
rnacentral:lncRNA from 1 species